rnacentral:lncRNA from 12 species
CUUGCCCUCAGAUUUCUUGAUGAGCCCAGUUUCCUGCUUCUCUUGGUCAAAAAACUGCAAUAACAACAACCAUGGAAUCACAGAAUCAUGGAAUCAAAGAAUGGACUGUGUUGGAAGCACCUUAAAGAUUCUGCAGUUCCAGCCCUGUGCCACAGGCAGGAACACCUUCCCCUAGACCAGGCUCCACACAGCCCAAAUAGCACCAAAAGUCAGCCAGCACUCCCCAAAUUGCCUGAAUCCCUGGAAAGCAGCAGUGUGCCAUGGUGCUGGAGGGAGUGGAAGCAGGAUGGAGAAGGAGCCCCUUGUCUGUGGCAAAGCCCUGAUGCUCAGGCAGGCUGCAAAGACAUAAAGUGCUUCCAACAAGCAUGGCCUGGCCCUGCUGCACUGUGUGUGUGCUGGAGGCUUCAGUUUUGGGAAGGGAGGAUUCUCCCAGCUCCCUGGACAGACUUCUGGACGUGUUGCAGGGCUGCUGCAAUGCUUGUGUUUGUGGGGAGUGAGUUUGAGCACAGUGUGAGGAGAAGCCCAGUGUCUGAGUGUGCAGAUCCUGGCUGUGUCCUGCCGGGUCUCAGACUGACAGGCUUUUGCCAGGCACAUCUUGUGCAGCUCAGAAGAAUGUCUGGAGGAAAGUCCAUAUGCAAGAGGCCAGACUACAUGAUCUAAUGGUCCCUUUGGCCUCAGAAGCUUGAAUCACUGAAUUGGAAUCUGUGAAAAAAGUGUCCCCAGCUGUAGGAAUGAACUGGCUCGACUGCAAAUAGGUCAAUUAAACCCCAACCAACAACCCUCUGGGGUCAUCAUAAAAGUUACAAAUUGGAUUGGAAGGCAUGUAAGUAUAAUUAAACUUUUGUAGUUUCAAGCUAAUGCAAAAUUUCUCACUUCCUGUCCAGCAUUCCUGUGCUUGCCUAAAAAUCUGCUGCAUUAUUUUAAUAUCUCUCUACAAAGGUCUCUAGUUGGGAUGCAGUGUGAGGCUGGAGCUGGACUGACCAAGUGGAAGACCCCUCCUGCUCUGGGCAGUCACAGAUGUCCCCUCCAGGUGUUGAACCAGGAAAUUCUAGUGGUGAGCAAAGGAGGGAUCCUUCCUUCCUUCCUUCCUCCCUCCCUCCCUCCCUCCCUCCCUCCCUUUUUCCUUCCCCUCUCCCACUGCUGGCACAAGUCCUACCCCCGUUCUCUCAUCUGCUCCUUCUCACUACUUGUCAUCCCUCUCCUGUUUUUCCCUGCAUCCCAUUUCACUUUAAAACACAAAGCCUGCUCCAAAACCUGAGGAACUGGAUUUUACAGGAAUCAAACGCUGCCUGAACCAAGUCAGGCUCUGAUUUACUCUUUUUUCCUGGGACAAUCAGCUAUGGAAAAUGCUGUAAAUGCUGGGUGCCACAGCAGGGUGGGCUGUGAGAUCAGCCCCCAGGAGCUGGGCAGGAGCAGAGCGUGGCUGCAAUGUUCACAGUGCCAUCUUUUGGAUAAGGUGGAAAACUGUACUGAG